GAUGAACGCUGGCGGCGUGCCUAAUACAUGCAAGUCGAGCGAACGGACGAGAAGCUUGCUUCUCUGAUGUUAGCGGCGGACGGGUGAGUAACACGUGGAUAACCUACCUAUAAGACUGGGAUAACUUCGGGAAACCGGAGCUAAUACCGGAUAAUAUUUUGAACCGCAUGGUUCAAAAGUGAAAGACGGUCUUGCUGUCACUUAUAGAUGGAUCCGCGCUGCAUUAGCUAGUUGGUAAGGUAACGGCUUACCAAGGCAACGAUGCAUAGCCGACCUGAGAGGGUGAUCGGCCACACGGGAACUGAGACACGGUCCAGACUCCUACGAGAGGCAGCAGUAGGGAAUCUUCCGCAAUGGGCGAGAGCCUGACGGAGCAACGCCGCGUGAGUGAUGAAGGUCUUCGGAUCGUAAAACUCUGUUAUUAGGGAAGAACAUAUGUGUAAGUAACUGUGCACAGCUUGACGGUACCUAAUCAGAAAGCCACGGCUAACUACGUG
rnacentral:rRNA from 1 species